GGGGAUUUAGCUCAGCGGUAGAGCGCUUGCCUAUUGAGCGCAAGGCCCUGGGUUCGGUCCCCAGCUCCG
rfam:Rattus norvegicus chromosome 3, whole genome shotgun sequence.